AGCGAACGCUGGCGGCAGGCUUAACACAUGCAAGUCGAGCGGGCGUAGCAAUACGUCAGCGGCAGACGGGUGAGUAACACGUGGGAACGUACCUUUUGGUCGGAACAACACAGGGAAACUUGUGCUAAUACCGAAUAAGCCCUUACGGGGAAGAUUUAUCGCCGAAAGAUCGGCCCGCGUCUGAUUAGCUUGUUGGUGAGGUAACGGCUCACCAAGGCGACGAUCAGUAGCUGGCUGAGAGGAUGAUCAGCCACACUGGGACUGAGACACGGCCCAGACUCCUACGGGAGGCAGCAGUGGGGAAUAUUGGACAAUGGGGGCAACCCUGAUCCAGCCAUGCCGCGUGAGUGAUGAAGG
rnacentral:rRNA from 1 species